UAAAUGUGCAGAGGAUUGCAUCCUGAAAGGAGUAGGUAGAGCAAUGGAGAGAAAAGCGGAGAAAAAGCGGAGAAAAAGGAUCUAUGCUGAGGUCAAUGUAAUUUAACUUAUUCAGAGCAGUUUGGAAUCAUGGCAUCUCACUGUUGUAAUUCUCCUCAGAAAACUGCUCCAAAACGAAGAGUUCCUAACUGCUGGAAACUCUGGCUUUUCUAUUUCAAUAUCAUUAAGCAGCUGCUAAUGUGGCAAAACCUGGAAUGUCUGCUGGAAGCUAAUUGAGGAGUUACAAACUGACCUUCCCAAUGUCCAAUACCCAUCAAAUUUGCAGGGGGCAUAGUCCUCACUGUCCUCUGAAGACCCUCCAAGUUUCAGAGAGAUUGCACCCUGGGGCAGUGAAGACCCAUUGAGAGGACUUUCCUUCUGUCUCUUGGCAGCCAAAGGACAACCCGAAGCAGUGCGAUGAGAAGUGUAUUUACCUGAUAUGUGACCUUGGCCAUCACAGCCUACCACCGGACAUCUACAAAAGCACAGUAAAACUGAUAUUAUUAUUAUUAUUACUUUCACACAAAUGGAACAAAUAAGAAUAAACAUAAAUAAAAGUAUCUGUUUGAUUAAUACACUAAUAUAGUAAUAUUAAGGUAGAGAUCUAUUGCAUUAACAUAAUCAUAAGAACAUAAGUAAAGCCUACUGGAUCAGCCCAGUGGUCCUUCUGCUCCAGCAUCCUGUUUCACACAGUGGCUAACCAAUUGCCCUGGUGGGGCAUAGAAGCCAAGGCCUUUCCCUGAUGUCUCCUAGCA